CGAAGCGCUUCGUUUUGAAUCUUCGGAGGAAGAACGGAAUGACUGAGCGGCGGACGGGUGAGUAACGCGUGGGCAACCUGCCUCAUACAGGGGGAUAACAGUUAGAAAUGACUGCUAAUACCGCAUAAGACCGCGGUACCGCAUGGUACAGCGGUAAAAACUCCGGUGGUAUGAGAUGGGCCCGCGUCUGAUUAGCUAGUUGGCGGGGUAACGGCCCACCAAGGCGACGAUCAGUAGCCGACCUGAGAGGGUGACCGGCCACAUUGGGACUGAGACACGGCCCAAACUCCUACGGGAGGCAGCAGUGGGGAAUAUUGCACAAUGGGGGAAACCCUGAUGCAGCGACGCCGCGUGAGCGAUGAAGUAUUUCGGUAUGUAAAGCUCUAUCAGCAGGGAAGAAGAUGACGGUACCUGACUAAGAAGCCCCGGCUAACUACGUGCCAGCAGCCGCGGUAAUACGUAGGGGGCAAGCGUUAUCCGGAUUUACUGGGUGUAAAGGGAGCGUAGACGGCGGUGCAAGCCAGAUGUGAAAGCCCGGGGCUCAACCCCGGGACUGCAUUUGGAACUUGUAUGGCUGG
rnacentral:rRNA from 1 species